rnacentral:tRNA from 1 species
ACCUCAGUAGCUCAACUGGCAGAGCAGCGGCCUCCAAAGUCGUUGGUUAGGAGUUCGACUCUUCUCUGGGGUGCCA